UACGGAGGAUCCAAGCGUUAUCCGGAAUCAUUGGGUUUAAAGGGUCCGUAGGCGGUUUUGUAAGUCAGUGGUGAAAGCCCAUCGCUCAACGGUGGAACGGCCAUUGAUACUGCAAGACUUGAAUUAUUAGGAAGUAACUAGAAUAUGUAGUGUAGCGGUGGAAUGCUUAGAGAUUACAUGGAAUACCAAUUGCGAAGGCAGGUUACUACUAGUGGAUUGACGCUGAUGGACGAAAGCGUGGGGAGCGAACAGG
rnacentral:rRNA from 1 species